rnacentral:lncRNA from 1 species
AUGGACAUAAGUCCUCAGAACGAUGCUCGUUUUCCUUUCAAAGCUGCAAAAUCUCUUCUAGGAUGUACAGAUUCUGCCCUCUGUGAAGUGGGAGAUGGUCAGCAGGCAGGUAACUGGACUCUCCUUACCCCUUUCAUUGAGGCAGGUGUCAGAUUUCUGAUGGAGAACCGAACUGCACUGUCUUCCACAACAAUUUCUGGGGGCCUAUGCUGCUUUCUUCUGACAGAAGGAAAACUGUUUUCCGGCUGCUGAACCAGUCCAGGAAGCUGCCCACAGUGCAGUGAGAAGGCUGUCUGCCUCCUGCUUGCUGGGCCCAGCCCUCCUAGUGAGCUGGGAGGCACAGUCCCUGUUGGCUGGGGUGCGUGUGGAGCCCUUUCUUCCAACACUUACUGUUGGGGGUGCUGCUUGAGAGGAUGCUCACUGCCCAAGAUGCAGUGGGUGCAUCAGUAAUGGUAGAUGUUGUCAUUGAAUGGGGGCAGGUGGGGGCAGGUCCGGGCAAUGAUGCCCAACUUUGGUUUAGACUAGCUUAGGUCAAACUAGCUUGCCUAAACUAGUCAGACUCCACGUAACUCUUUGAUCAGAAUGGGGAUAUAGUAGCUUACUUUUUGGCUCUCCACAGUGCCGAGAGCCGAGUGGAUACUGCUACCAGUAUGUUUUACAAUCAAAGGCUGCAUUUAGCAGAAAGGUCUCUUAGGCUUUGCUGUGUGACCUCUGUGUUUUUCUUGUCUUUCUGUGUCUUUCUUAGGAGCAGCAUCUUAGCAAGUUGGGAAGCUGGUGAUUCACCCUCUGUUAGCCUUGAGGCAGUCUAAGGAUUUUGUAUUUGAUUGUAUGCAUGCACUCACUCAGUCGUGUCCAACUCUUUGUGACCCCAUGANNNNNNNNNNNNNNNNNNNNNNNNNNNNNNNNNNNCCAUGGAAUUUUCCAGGCAAGAAUACUGGAGUGGGUUGCCAUUUCCUCCUACUAGAGAUCUUCCUGGCCCAAGAAUUGAACCCGUGUCUCCUGCGUCCCCUGCAUUGGCAGGCAGAUUCUGAGCCACCUGCCCAUUUGAUUGGGCGGAAAUUAAUUUGAAAAUUCUUGACAGUUUCAAAAUGGAAGCGGAGAGGUGAGUGGGUCCCAGGUCAGAUUCAUGACAGGGAUGCAGACUAGUCAUGGAGUUCCUGCUAUUAUCUACAUAAGACAAAACAGUGGCCUGGCCAGGACAGGGCAACUGAUAUGGAAAGGAGGGAAGAGUUUCUUAUGUUUUCCUUAAAACUUUUUUUAUUGUGGUAAGAUAUACGUAACAAUGAGGUAUGUGGAGUAGUCAGAUAUGUAGAGAUAGAAAGUAGAAUGAUGGUUAGUUAGCAGAGGUGUGGGGAGGGAGAAUGAGAAGGUAGUGUUUAGUGGGCACAGAGUUUCAGUUUUACAAGAUGAGGAACCUCCCUGGCAGUCCAGUGCGAACACUCCAAGCUUCCAGUGCAGGGAGCCCUGGGUCCAUCCCUGGUCAGGGAACUAGAUCCCACACGCUGCAACUAAAAGUUCACAUGCCGCAACGAAGAUCGAAGAUCCCCAAACUGAGUAUCCCAGCACAGCCAAAUAAAUAAGUAAUAAAUUAAAAAAUCUUUGCAACCUCAGGGACUCUAGCCUACCAGGCUCCUCUGUCCAUGGAAUUCUUCAG